rnacentral:rRNA from 1 species
UAGAGUUUGAUCCUGGCUCAGGAUGAACGCUGGCGGCGUGCUUAACACAUGCAAGUCGAACGGACUUAUAUUGAAACCUAGUGAAAUAUAAGUUAGUGGCGGACGGGUGAGUAACGCGUGGAUAACCUGCCGUAUACAGGGGGAUAACACUUAGAAAUAGGUGCUAAUACCGCAUAAGCGCACAGCUUCGCAUGAAGCAGUGUGAAAAACUGAGGUGGUAUACGAUGGUUCCGCGUCUGAUUAGCUAGUUGGUGGGGUAAUGGCCUACCAAGGCGACGAUCAGUAGCCGGCCUGAGAGGGCGAACGGCCACAUUGGGACUGAGACACGGCCCAAACUCCUACGGGAGGCAGCAGUGGGGAAUAUUGCACAAUGGGGGAAACCCUGAUGCAGCGACGCCGCGUGAGUGAAGAAGUAUUUCGGUAUGUAAAGCUCUAUCAGCAGGGAAGAAAAACCGACCAUAGGGUCGCUAGACGGUACCUGAUUAAGAAGCCCCGGCUAACUACGUGCCAGCAGCCGCGGUAAUACGUAGGGGGCAAGCGUUAUCCGGAUUUACUGGGUGUAAAGGGAGCGUAGACGGCAGCGCAAGUCUGAAGUGAAAUGCCGGGGCUUAACCCCGGAACUGCUUUGGAAACUGAGCAGCUAGAGUGCAGGAGAGGUAAGUGGAAUUCCUAGUGUAGCGGUGAAAUGCGUAGAUAUUAGGAGGAACACCAGUGGCGAAGGCGGCUUACUGGACUGUAACUGACGUUGAGGCUCGAAAGCGUGGGGAGCAAACAGGAUUAGAUACCCUGGUAG